rnacentral:rRNA from 1 species
UCCUACGGGAGGCAGCAGCUAAGAAUCUUCCGCAAUGGACGCAAGUCUGACGGAGCGAUGCCGCGUGUGCGAUGAAUGUCGAGAGAUUGUAAAGCACUUUUAUACGUGAGGAAUAAGCGAAUCAGGAAAUGGGUUUGUGAUGACGUUAGCGUAUGAAUAAGCUCCGGCCAAUUACGUGCCAGCAGCCGCGGUAACACGUAAGGAGCGAGCGUUGUUCGGAAUUAUUGGGCGUAAAGGGCAUGUAGGCGGUUUUGUAAGUCUGAUGUGAAAGCGUGCAGCUCAACUGCAUUGUUGCGUUGGAAACUGCGAGACUUGAAUCCGAGAGGGGUGUGUGGAAUUCCUAGUGUAGGGGUGAAAUCUGUUGAUAUUAGGAAGAACACCAGAGGCGAGGGCGACACACUGGCUCUGGAUUGACGCUGAAGUGCAAAAGCGUAGGUAGCGAACAGGAUUAGAUACCCUGGUAGUCUACGCCGUAAAACGAUGUACACUUGGUGUCUGGGGUUUUGACCUUACGUGCCGCAACCAACGCAUUAAGUGUACCGCCUGGGGAGUUUUCCGGC